UUGCUCCCCUCACUGCAGCAGGAAGCCCAGCUUGCGAACUGCAGGUGUGCUCCAGGUGGUCACUGGAUGCAGGGUAUUGACAGAUGGAUCCCAUCGAUACCCCCACUGCAUAACCAUAAAUGGUGAGAGAACUUUGGAUGUGGAAUGUGGAGUAGGAGGAACACGAAGUGGGGAUCUGCACUUGGGGUGGUCAGCACUGCGGAUGCCCAGCAAAGGCACUGCCUGGUCCACAUCCCGGAGUGGUCUCUGCGCCCGAGUCGACAUCGCAGCUGAUGGUGAAACUUUUGGUGUGGCAGAAGAGUGUCCACAAACUUUGGAAGAUCGCUGCUCAGAGUGAUGAAUGGCGUUGUAUUUUGAAUAAAAUAUCUAAGCAUC
rnacentral:sRNA from 1 species